GAUGAACGCUGGCGGCGUGCCUAAUACAUGCAAGUAGAACGCUGAAGGAGGAGCUUGCUCUUCUGGAUGAGUUGCGAACGGGUGAGUAACGCGUAGGUAACCUGCCUGGUAGCGGGGGAUAACUAUUGGAAACGAUAGCUAAUACCGCAUGACAACAGUUAUUGCAUGAUAACUGUUUAAAAGGGGCAACUGCUCCACUACCAGAUGGACCUGCGUUGUAUUAGCUAGUUGGUGAGGUAACGGCUCACCAAGGCGACGAUACAUAGCCGACCUGAGAGGGUGAUCGGCCACACUGGGACUGAGACACGGCCCAGACUCCUACGGGAGGCAGCAGUAGGGAAUCUUCGGCAAUGGACGGAAGUCUGACCGAGCAACGCCGCGUGAGUGAAGAAGGUUUUCGGAUCGUAAAGCUCUGUUGUAAGAGAAGAACGAGGGUGAGAGUGGAAAGUUCACACUGUGACGGUAUCUUACCAGAAAGGGACGGCUAACUACGUG
rnacentral:rRNA from 1 species